rnacentral:rRNA from 1 species
AACGAACGCUGGCGGCAUGCCUAACACAUGCAAGUCGAACGGGAUCCUAGCUUGCUAGGUGAGAGUGGCGGACGGGUGAGUAACACGUGGGAAUCUGCCUUUUGGUUCGGGAUAACCGCGGGAAACUGCGGCUAAUACCGAAUGCCCUCGAGAGAGGAAAGAUUUAUCGCCAGAAGAGGAGCCCGCGUCCGAUUAGGUAGUUGGUGGGGUAAAGGCCUACCAAGCCGACGAUCGGUAGCUGGUCUGAGAGGAUGAUCAGCCACACUGGGACUGAGAUACGGCCCAGACUCCUACGGGAGGCAGCAGUGGGGAAUAUUGGACAAAUGGGGGCAACCCUGAUCCAGCAAUGCCGCGUGAGUGAUGAAGGCCUUAGGGUUGUAAAGCUCUUUUGCCAGGGAAGAUGAUGACUGUACCUGGAGAAUAAGCCCCGGCUAACCUUCGUGCCAGCAGCCACGGUAAU